AGAUUGAACGCUAGCGGGAUGCUUUACACAUGCAAGUCGAACGGCAGCGCGGACUUCGGUCUGGCGGCGAGUGGCGAACGGGUGAGUAAUAUAUCGGAACGUGCCCAGUAGCGGGGGAUAACUACGCGAAAGCGUGGCUAAUACCGCAUACGCCCUACGGGGGAAAGGGGGGAUUCUUCGGAACCUCUCACUAUUGGAGCGGCCGAUAUCAGAUUAGCUAGUUGGUGAGGUAAAGGCUCACCAAGGCGACGAUCUGUAGCUGGUUUGAGAGGACGACCAGCCACACUGGGACUGAGACACGGCCCAGACUCCUACGGGAGCAGCAGUGGGGAAUUUGGACAAUGGGACAAGCCUGAUCCAGCCAUGCCGCGUGCAGGAU
rnacentral:rRNA from 1 species